rnacentral:tRNA from 1 species
GGAGCUGUGCCCGAGUACCUAAGGGCCACUUUGAUAGAGUGAUACACGGGGGUUAAAGUCCCCCCAACUCCU